UACGUAGGGUGCGAGCGUUGUCCGGAAUUAUUGGGCGUAAAGGGCUCGUAGGCGGUCUGUUGCGUCGGGAGUGAAAACUCAGGGCUUAACCCUGAGCCUGCUUCCGAUACGGGCAGACUAGAGGUAUGCAGGGGAGAACGGAAUUCCUGGUGUAGCGGUGAAAUGCGUAGAUAUCAGGAGGAACACCGGUGGCGAAGGCGAGUCUCUGGACAUUUCCUGACGCUGAGGCACGAAAGCCAGGGGAGCAAACGGG
rnacentral:rRNA from 1 species